rnacentral:rRNA from 1 species
AGAGUUUGAUCCCGGCUCAGGAUGAACGCUAGCGACAGGCUUAACACAUGCAAGUCGAGGGGCAGCGGGGUAGUGCUUGCACUACUGCCGGCGACCGGCGCACGGGUGAGUAACACGUAUGGAACCUGCCCGCAGCAGGGGGAUAAGCGGAAGAAAUUCCGUCUAAUACCGCGUAAGAACGUUGGGAGGCAUCUCCCGAUGUUUAAAGAUUUAUCGGCUGCGGAUGGCCAUGCGGCGCAUUAGCUAGUCGGCGGGGUAACGGCCCACCGAGGCGACGAUGCGUAGGGGUUCUGAGAGGAAGGUCCCCCACACUGGUACUGAGACACGGACCAGACUCCUACGGGAGGCAGCAGUGAGGAAUAUUGGUCAAUGGCCGAGAGGCUGAACCAGCCAAGUCGCGUGAGGGAAGACGGCCCUACGGGUUGUAAACCUCUUUUGUCGGGGAGCAAAGCGAACCACGUGUGGUUCAUUGAGAGUACCCGAAGAAAAAGCAUCGGCUAACUCCGUGCCAGCAGCCGCGGUAAUUCGGAGGAUGCGAGCGUUAUCCGGAUUUAUUGGGUUUAAAGGGUGCGCAGGCGGAGGUGCAAGUCAGCGGUCAAAUUGCGGGGCUCAACCCCGUACUGCCGUUGAAACUGCAUCCCUUGAGUGCGCGAGAAGUAUGCGGAAUGCGUGGUGUAGCGGUGAAAUGCAUAGAUAUCACGCAGAACUCCGAUUGCGAAGGCAGCAUACCGGCGCUCAACUGACGCUCAUGCACGAAAGCGUGGGUAUCGAACAGGAUUAGAUACCCUGGUAGUCCACGCAGUAAACGAUGAAUACUAACUGUCCGGGCAGAAUGAUGCCUGGGUGGUACAGCGAAAGCGUUAAGUAUUCCACCUGGGGAGUACGCCGGCAACGGUGAAACUCAAAGGAAUUGACGGGGGCCCGCACAAGCGGAGGAACAUGUGGUUUAAUUCGAUGAUACGCGAGGAACCUUACCCGGGCUCAAACGACGGAUGGAUGUUUCUGAAAGGAGGCAGUCCUACGGGACAUCCGUCGAGGUGCUGCAUGGUUGUCGUCAGCUCGUGCCGUGAGGUGUCGGCUUAAGUGCCAUAACGAGCGCAACCCCCAUCGCCAGUUACCAGCAAGUAAAGUUGGGGACUCUGGCGAGACUGCCGGCGCAAGUUGUGAGGAAGGCGGGGAUGACGUCAAAUCAGCACGGCCCUUACGUCCGGGGCGACACACGUGUUACAAUGGCAGGUACAGAGAGAAGCGAUGCGGCGACGCAGAGCGGAACUUCAAAGCCUGUCUCAGUUCGGAUUGGAGUCUGCAACCCGACUCCAUGAAGCUGGAUUCGCUAGUAAUCGCGCAUCAGCCACGGCGCGGUGAAUACGUUCCCGGGCCUUGCACACACCGCCCGUCA